UAAAUACUCCUUGUCAUCAAAAUGAAUAAAAAGGGAUGUAUCUAGAUGUAUUUUAAUUCUAGAUACAUCCUUUUUUGUCCAUUUUGAUGACAAGUAUUUUCGGACGGAGGGAGUACUCU
rnacentral:pre_miRNA from 1 species